GAUGAACGCUGGCGGCGUGCCUAAGACAUGCAAGUCGAGCGAUCGGCUGCGGGAAGCUUGCUUCCUGCAGUACGGAGCGGCGAACGGGUGAGUAACACGUGAGCAACCUGCCCCGGUGACGGGGAUAACCACGGGAAACCGUGGCUAAUACCCGAUAACCCUGCGGAAGGGCAUCCUUCUGCAGGCAAAGGCUCCGGCGCACCGGGAGGGGCUCACGGCCUAUCAGCUUGUUGGUGGGGUAACGGCCCACCAAGGCUACGACGGGUAGCCGGCGUGA
rnacentral:rRNA from 1 species